rnacentral:rRNA from 1 species
AGUGAACGCUGGCGGUAGGCCUAACACAUGCAAGUCGAACGGCAGCACAGUAAGAGCUUGCUCUUACGGGUGGCGAGUGGCGGACGGGUGAGGAAUACAUCGGAAUCUACUUUUUCGUGGGGGAUAACGUAGGGAAACUUACGCUAAUACCGCAUACGAUCUACGGGUGAAAGCAGGGGAUCUUCGGACCUUUCGCGAUUGAAUGAGCCGAUGUCGGAUUAGCUAGUUGGCAGGGUAAAGGCCCACCAAGGCGACGAUCCGUAGCUGGUCUGAGAGGAUGAUCAGCCACACUGGAACUGAGACACGGUCCAGACUCCUACGGGAGGCAGCAGUGGGGAAUAUUGGACAAUGGGCGCAAGCCUGAUCCAGCCAUACCGCGUGGGUGAAGAAGGCCUUCGGGUUGUAAAGCCCUUUUGUUGGGAAAGAAAAGCAGCAGGUUAAUACCCCGCUGUUCUGACGGUACCCAAAGAAUAAGCACCGGCUAACUUCGUG